rnacentral:rRNA from 1 species
CCUACGGGUGGCAGCAGUGAGGUAUAUUGGUCAAUGGACGAGAGUCUGAACCAGCCAAGUAGCGUGAAGGAUGACUGCCCUAUGGGUUGUAAACUUCUUUUAUAUGGGAAUAAAAUGUUCCACGUGUGGGAUUUUGUAUGUACCAUAUGAAUAAGGAUCGGCUAACUCCGUGCCAGCAGCCGCGGUAAUACGGAGGAUCCGAGCGUUAUCCGGAUUUAUUGGGUUUAAAGGGAGCGUAGGUGGAUUGUUAAGUCAGUUGUGAAAGUUUGCGGCUCAACCGUAAAAUUGCAGUUGAAACUGGCAGUCUUGAGUACAGUAGAGGUGGGCGGAAUUCGUGGUGUAGCGGUGAAAUGCUUAGAUAUCACGAAGAACACCGAUUGCGAAGGCAGUUCACUGGACUGCAACUGACACUGAGGCUCGAAAGUGUGGGUAUCAAACAGGAUUAGAUACCCCAGUAGUC